rnacentral:tRNA from 1 species
GUGGUGGUUCAGUGGUAGAGAACUUGCCUAGCAUGCGUGAGGCACUGAGUUCAAUCCCCAGCACCACA